CCUACGGGAGGCAGCAGUGAGGAAUAUUGGUCAAUGGGCUGACGCCUGAACCAGCCAAGUCGCGGGAGGGAAGACUGCCCGAUGGGUUGUAAACCUCUUUUGUCAGGGAGCAACGCCGGCUACGUGUAGCCGGACGGAGAGGACCUGAAGAAAAAGCAGCGGCGAACUCCGUGCCAGCAGCCGCGGUAAUACGGAGGAUGCGAGCGUUAUCCGGAUUUAUUGGGUUGAAAGGGUGCGCAGGCGGAAGAUCAAGUCAGCGGUAAAAUUGAGAGGCUCAACCUCUUCGAGCCGUUGAAACUGGUUUUCUUGAGUGUGCGCGACGUCUGCGGUAUGCGUGGUGUCGCGG
rnacentral:rRNA from 1 species